rnacentral:rRNA from 1 species
CCUACGGGGCGCAGCAGUGGGGAAUAUUGCACAAUGGGGGAAACCCUGAUGCAGCGACGCCGCGUGAGUGAAGAAGUAUCUCGGUACGUAAAGCUCUAUCAGCAGGGAAGAAAAUGACGGUACCUGACUAAGAAGCCCCGGCUAACUACGUGCCAGCAGCCGCGGUAAUACGUAGGGGGCACGCGUUAUCCGGAUUUACUGGGUGUAAAGGGAGCGUAGACGGCAGAACAAGUCUGGGGUGAAAUCCCGGGGCUUAACCCGGGAACUGCUUUGGAAACUGUACGGGUGGAGUGCAGGAGGGGUGAGCAGAAUUCCUAGUGUAGCGGUGAAAUGCGUAGAUAUUAGGAGGAACACCGGUGGCGAAGGCGGCUUACUGGA